UACCGCUGGCAAUGCUUGCUAACGAUUUGCUUGAGCCAGUGUCGUGUGGAUUAAUUUUUAUCGUGAUAUUUGGUUUGCUACGUUAUAAUCUUGUGUUUUUUUAAAUACUCUGCAUUUUAGCAGCGUGCGCCGCGCAACAACAUGGAAGAUCCCAACCGUAUGAUGGCACAUACUGGUGGCAUGAUGGCCCCACAAGCUUA